GACGAACGCUGGCGGCGUGCUUAACACAUGCAAGUCGAACGGACAGGCCCUGCUUUUGUGUCGUGCUCGAUUGCCGAACGCGUGAGUAUAACGUGUGUAUCCCCCCCCUGUCUUUGGGAUAACUUUUGGAAACUCGGGCUCUUACCGGAUAGGAUCUUCUGCUGCAUGGGGGGGGUUGGAAAGUUUCGGCGGUUGGGGCUGGAAUCGCGGCUUAUCAGCUUGUUGGUGGGGUAGUGACUUACCAAGGGUUCGACGGGUAGCCGGCCUGAGAGGGUGGACAGGCACAUUGGGACUGAGAUACGGCCCAGACGCCUACGGGAGGCAGCAGGGGGGAGUAUUGCAGAAUGGGCGGAAGCGUGGGGCAGAAACGCCGGGAGCGGGAUGACGGCUUUCGGGGUGUAAACCGCUUUCGCCUGUGACGAAGCGUGAGUGACGGUAAUUGGUAAAGAAGCACCGGCUAACUACGUG
rnacentral:rRNA from 1 species